GAUGAAGAACGUAGCGAAAUGCGAUACUUGGUGUGAAUUGCAGAAUUCCGUGAAUCAUCGAAUCUUUGAACGCACAUUGCGCCCCCUGGCAUUCCGGGGGGCAUGCCUGUCCGAGCGUCAUUUCUGCCCUCAAGCACGGCUUGUGUGUUGGGUGUGGUCCCCCCGGGGACCUGCCCGAAAGGCAGCGGCGACGUCCGUCUGGUCCUCGAGCGUAUGGGGCUCUGUCACUCGCUCGGGAAGGACCUGCGGGGGUUGGUCACCACUAUAUUUUACCACGGUUGACCUCGGAUCAGGUAGGAGUUACCCGCUGAACUUAAGCAUAUCAAUAAGCGGAGGA
rnacentral:misc_RNA from 1 species